rnacentral:rRNA from 1 species
AUUGAACGCUGGCGGCAUGCUUUACACAUGCAAGUCGGACGGCAGCACAGAGAAGCUUGCUUCUUGGGUGGCGAGUGGCGAACGGGUGAGUAACAUACCGGAACGUACCGAGUAAUGGGGGAUAACUAAUCGAAAGAUUAGCUAAUACCGCAUAUUCUCUGAGGAGGAAAGCAGGGGACCUUAGGGCCUUGCGUUAUUCGAGCGGCCGAUAUCUGAUUAGCUAGUUGGUGGGGUAAAGGCCUACCAAGGCGACGAUCAGUAGCGGGUCUGAGAGGAUGAUCCGCCACACUGGGACUGAGACACGGCCCAGACUCCUACGGGAGGCAGCAGUGGGGAAUUUUGGACAAUGGGCGCAAGCCUGAUCCAGCCAUGCCGCGUGUCUGAAGAAGGCCUUCGGGUUGUAAAGGACUUUUGUCAGGGAAGAAAAGGCUGUCGCUAAUACCGACAGUUGAUGACGGUACCUGAAGAAUAAGCACCGGCUAACUACGUGCCAGCAGCCGCGGUAAUACGUAGGGUGCGAGCGUUAAUCGGAAUUACUGGGCGUAAAGCGAGCGCAGACGGUUACUUAAGCAGGAUGUGAAAUCCCCGGGCUCAACCUGGGAACUGCGUUCUGAACUGGGUGACUAGAGUGUGUCAGAGGGAGGUAGAAUUCCACGUGUAGCAGUGAAAUGCGUAGAGAUGUGGAGGAAUACCGAUGGCGAAGGCAGCCUCCUGGGAUAACACUGACGUUCAUGCUCGAAAGCGUGGGUAGCAAACAGG